rnacentral:rRNA from 1 species
UGGAGCAAAUCCCUAAAAGCCAUCCCAGUUCGGAUUGCAGGCUGCAACCCGCCUGUAUGAAGUUGGAAUCGCUAGUAAUCGCGGAUCAGCAUGCCGCGGUGAAUACGUUCCCGGGCCUUGUACACACCGCCCGUCACACCAUGAGAGUCGGGAACACCCGAAGUCCGUAGUCUAACCGCAAGGGGGACGCGGCCGAAGGUGGGUUCGAUAAUUGGGGUGAAGUCGUAACAAGGUACC